CCCCCCUCUCUUUUCUUAUUUCCCAAACCCCUCAUAUCCCAAUUCAAGUUUUUAUUUUUGAUACGAUGACCGAUUCCGCUCCUCCUUCAACAAUGAGAUCCGAGGGCAAAGGAUCUUGGAAAGAAUAAAAACGAAGACAAUGGUGGGGCGGCCACGAUUGGUGAUUGAUGGCCGAUGUAAGCGAUUCAGCUAUGAUGAUUUCAAGGUAUAUGGGACAAGGGCGCACACCCUACUAAGCACAAAGUUGGGGUCCUAGUGCGAACUAACUGUCGUACGGAGCGGGAGUCUUGAAAACUAGUGUCGGAAGAGCUGAAGAAGUAUAUAUAUGCGGGAUAAGUUAGUAGUAACUGCGAAUUAGAAAAUUAAUAUUUAUUUUCGUUAAAUAGCAAAUGAUUAGUAAUUAA